AGCUCCAUUGCCAAUCCUCCUUCUUUCGAAUGACCCUGAGCAGGCACGGAGGGCACUAAAACCCAGGCCAGGUCUCAGCCCAGCGCGCCGGCGGCAGAGGAGGCGGCGGCGGGCCCGGGGGCCGCGCUGAGCGCCCGGGCCGCGGCUGCGGACGGGCUCAGGUAACCGCGGUGGCACCUUCAGCCAGCUCUGCUGCCAGAGACACGGCUGGUGCUGGGGGUAAGGUCUGGCUGCCGCUUCUAACAGGGGGUUCUCGUCUCCAGGAUGUUCAGCUGGUUUGUCCAGGGGCUGGAGAAGGUGAUGCCACAGCCGGUGACCAGGGAGAAGCAGGACACUCAGGGAGUGGCCACAGCAACCCCGAGUCCUGUGGAACAAAGGGGCAAAGGGGCUUAGCGCCUCUGAAACAAAUGGAAAAUGAAGACCGUGGCCAACCAGCCCUUCCCA
rnacentral:lncRNA from 1 species